rnacentral:rRNA from 1 species
GAUGAACGCUGGCGGCGUGCCUAAUACAUGCAAGUCGAGCGAACGGACGAGAAGCUUGCUUCUCUGAUGUUAGCGGCGGACGGGUGAGUAACACGUGGAUAACCUACCUAUAAGACUGGGAUAACUUCGGGAAACCGGAGCUAAUACCGGAUAAUAUUUUGAACCGCAUGGUUCAAAAGUGAAAGACGGUCUUGCUGUCACUUAUAGAUGGAUCCGCGCUGCAUUAGCUAGUUGGUAAGGUAAAGGCUUACCAAGGCAACGAUGCAUAGCCGACCUGAGAGGGUCGUUGGCUAGCCGGUAACUGAGGCUCGGUCCAGACACCUGCGGUAAGCCGCAGUCGGGACUCCUACGCAAUGGGGGAGAGCCUGACGGAGCAACGCCGCGUGAGUGCUGAAGGUCCUCCGAUCGGAAAACUCUGUUAUUAGGGAAGAACAUAUGUGUAAGUAACUGUGCACAUCUUGACGGUACCUAAUCAGAAAGCCACGGCUAACUACGUG